rnacentral:rRNA from 1 species
UACGUAGGCAGCAAGCGUUGUUCGGAGUUACUGGGCGUAAAGAGUGCGUAGGCGGUCCUUUAAGUUUGGUGUGAAAUCUCCCGGCUCAACUGGGAGGUGCGCCGAAAACUGGAGGGCUUGAGUGUGGGAGAGGCAAGCGGAAUUCCUGGUGUAGCGGUGAAAUGCGUAGAGAUCGGGAAGAACAUCGGUGGCGAAAGCGCUCUGCUGGACUGCAACUGACACUCAGGGACGAAAGCUAGGGGAGCGAAUGGG